AGAGUUUGAUCCUGGCUCAGGAUGAACGCUAGCUACAGGCUUAACACAUGCAAGUCGAGGGGAAACGAUAUUGGAAGCUUGCUUCCGAUAGGCGUCGACCGGCGCACGGGUGAGUAACGCGUAUCCAACCUGCCCACCACUUGGGGAUAACCUUGCGAAAGUAAGACUAAUACCCAAUGAUAUCUCUAGAAGACAUCUGAAAGAGAUUAAAAGAUUUAUCGGUGAUGGAUGGGGAUGCGUCUGAUUAGCUUGUUGGCGGGUAACGCCACAAGGCGACGAUCAGUAGGGGUUCUGAGAGGAACGGUCCCCCANAUUGGAACUGAGACACGGUCCAAACUCCUACGGGAGGCA
rnacentral:rRNA from 1 species